UACGGGAGGCAGCAGUGGGGAAUAUUGCACAAUGGGCGCAAGCCUGAUGCAGCCAUGCCGCGUGUAUGAAGAAGGCCUUCGGGUUGUAAAGUACUUUCAGCGGGGAGGAAGGCGAUGCGGUUAAUAACCGCGUCGAUUGACGUUACCCGCAGAAGAAGCACCGGCUAACUCCGUGCCAGCAGCCGCGGUAAUACGGAGGGUGCAAGCGUUAAAUCGGAAUUACUGGGCGUAAAGCGCACACAGGCGGUCUGUUAAGUCAGAUGUGAAAUCCCCGGGCUUAACCUGGGAACUGCAUUUGAAACUGGCAGGCUUGAGUCUUGUAGAGGGGGUAGAAAUUCCAGGUGUAGCGGUGAAAUGCGUAGAGAUCUGGAGGAAUAACCGGUGGCGAAGGCGGGCCCCCUGGGACAAAGACUGACGCUCAGGUGCGAAAGCGUGGGGAGCAAACAGGAUUAGAUACC
rnacentral:rRNA from 1 species